ACCACACCCACUCCAACAAGGCCAUGCCUCCUAAUAGUGUCACUCUUCCAUCUGGAUGAUGAGUUGCCAACAGCUUUGGGGACAGGAGCUGUUGUCUCCCGGCCCACAAGGACAAAGGGAGCAAGAGUUCCAAUGGCCCAUGAGAACAAUGAAAAUGACUACCAGGAUCAGCUUCAGAGAGACAGCUCAACUUUAAUCAUGAACUCCUACAGAUGAUGAACGCCUUCAGCGAUAUGGCUGGAUACAAAAUUAACUAAAAAAGAAGAUCAGUAGCCCUUCACGAUAGCCACAAAUAUAAAAUAUCUUGGUGUAACUCUAAUGCGGCAAGUGAAAGAGCCAUACGACAAGAACUUCAAGUCUUUGAAGAAAUAAAUUGAGGAAGAUAUCAGAAGAUAGAAAGAUCUCCCAUACUCAUGGAUUGAUAGGAUUAACAUAGUA